rnacentral:rRNA from 1 species
AGUGAACGCUGGCGGUAGGCCUAACACAUGCAAGUCGAACGGCAGCACAGUACUAGCUUGCUCUUACGGGUGGCGAGUGGCGGACGGGUGAGGAAUACAUCGGAAUCUACUUUUUCGUGGGGGAUAACGUAGGGAAACUUACUCUAAUACCGCAUACGACCUACGGGUGAAAGCAGGGGAUCUUCUGACCUUGCGCGAUUGAAUGAGCCGAUGUCGGAUUAGCUAGUUGGCGGGGUAAAGGCCCACCAAGGCGACGAUCCGUAGCUGGUCUGAGAGGAUGAUCAGCCACACUGGAACUGAGACACGGUCCAGACUCCUGCGGGAGGCAGCAGUGGGGAAUAUUGGACAAUGGGCGCAAGCCUGAUCCAGCCAUACCGCGUGGGUGAAGAAGGCCUUCGGGUUGUAAAGCCCUUUUGUUGGGAAAGAAAAGCAGCAGGUUAAUACCACGCUGUUCUGACGGUACCCAAAGAAUAAGCACCGGCUAACUUCGUG